GACGAACGCUGGCGGCGUGCCUAAUACAUGCAAGUCGAGCGCAGCGGCGGAUGGGUGAGUAACGCGUGGGUAACCUGCCCUUAAGGCUUGGAUACCAUUAGGAAACAGCAGCUAAUCCCGGAUACUAACGGAGGGACCUGCGAUUCAUUAACUAGUUGGUAAGGUAACGGCUUACCAAGGCAAUUAUGCAUAGCCGAGUUGAAGGACUGAGCGGCCACAUUGGAACUGGUACACGGCCCAAACUCCUACGUGAGGCAGCAGUAGGGAAUCUGCCACAAUGGACGAAAGUCUGAUGGAGCAACGCCGCGUGAGUGAAGAAGGUUUUCGGAUCGUAAAGCUCUGUUGUUGGUGAAGCGGUAAUCAACCAGAAAGUCACGGCUAACUACGUGCCAGCAGCCGCGGUAAUUC
rnacentral:rRNA from 1 species